AGAGUUUGAUCCUGGCUCAGAGCGAACGCUGGCGGCAGGCCUAAUACAUGCAAGUCGAACGGUCUCUUCGGAGGCAGUGGCGGACGGUGAGUAACGCGUGGGAACGUGCCCUUUGGUACGGAACAACUGAGGGAAACUUCAGCUAAUACCGUAUGUGCCCUUCGGGGGAAAGAUUUAUCGCCAUUGGAGCGGCCCGCGUUGGAUUAGCUAGUUGGUGGGUAAUGGCCCACCAAGGCGACGAUCCAUAGCUGGUCUGAGAGGAUGAUCAGCCACACUGGGACUGAGACACGGCCCAGACUCCUACGGGAGGCAGCAGUAGGGAAUCUUGCGCAAUGGGCGAAAGCCUGACGCAGCCAUGCCGCGUGAAUGAUGAAGGUCUUAGGAUUGUAAAAUUCUUCACCGGGGACGAUAAUGACGGUACCCGGAGAAGAAGCCCCGGCUAACUUCGUG
rnacentral:rRNA from 1 species